GACGAACGCUGGCGGCGUGCUUAACACAUGCAAGUCGAACGGAAAGGCCCCUUUGGGGGUCCUCGAGUGGCGAACGGGUGAGUAACACGUGAGUAACCUGCCCUUGACUUCGGGAUAACUUCAGGAAACUGGGGCUAAUACCGGAUAGGAAUCCUUGCUGCAUGGUGGGGGUUGGAAAGCUUCGGCGGUUUUGGAUGGACUCGCGGCUUAUCGGCUUGUUGGUGGGGUAGUGGCUUACCAAGGCUUUGACGGGUAGCCGGCCUGAGAGGGCGACCGGCCACAUUGGGACUGAGAUACGGCCCAGACUCCUACGGGAGGCAGCAGUGGGGAAUAUUGCACAAUGGGCGGAAGCCUGAUGCAGCAACGCCGCGUGCGGGAUGACGGCCUUCGGGUUGAAAACCGGUUUCAGCAGGGGCGAAGCUUGUGGUGACGGUACCUGCAGAAGAAGCACCGGCUAACUACGUG
rnacentral:rRNA from 1 species